CCGCCCAAUGCGCCGCCAACACCUGCCUCGGCGGUGCCACCGGCAGAUGCGGCGCCACUGAUCAGGCCAAGGGACAACAAGAGAAUCGAGGAGAACUUCAUGAGAGGAGCCUCAAAGGGAUGACGGCGCGAUCCUGAGGCUGUGUCGCGAUGGUUACAAUAGAAAUCCGACGAGUAACACGACUUGUGCACAAUUUGCUAAGUUAUUGUUUUAUAGACGGAACUUAAUGGAUUUUCGCGGGUCUUUUGCUACUUGCGACAGGCCGCUUUGAUACAAAAGCGGCCUUUUUUGUGGGCGUUUGGAAAGUGUUCUAACGCUGAGUAUGUGAGGUGAACAUAGUCCUGUGGCGAGGGAGCUUGCUCCCGUU
rnacentral:sRNA from 1 species